rnacentral:rRNA from 1 species
AACGAACGCUGGCGGCAGGCCUAACACAUGCAAGUCGAGCGAGGACUUCGGUCCUAGCGGCGGACGGGUGAGUAACGCGUGGGAACGUGCCCUUUGCUUCGGAAUAGCCCUGGGAAACUGGGAGUAAUACCGGAUGAGCCCUUUGGGGGAAAGAUUUAUCGGCGAAGGAUCGGCCCGCGUUGGAUUAGGUAGUUGGUGGGGUAAUGGCCUACCAAGCCGACGAUCCAUAGCUGGUUUGAGAGGAUGAUCAGCCACACUGGGACUGAGACACGGCCCAGACUCCUACGGGAGGCAGCAGUGGGGAAUCUUAGACAAUGGGGGAAACCCUGAUCUAGCCAUGCCGCGUGAGCGAUUAAGGCCUUAGGGUUGUAAAGCUCUUUCAGCUGGGAAGAUAAUGACGGUACCAGCAGAAGAAGCCCCGGCUAACUCCGUG